GUGGGGAAUAUUGGACAAUGGGCGAAAGCCUGAUCCAGCCAUGCCGCGUGUGUGAAGAAGGUCUUCGGAUUGUAAAGCACUUUAAGUUGGGAGGAAGAGUAGUAACCUAAUACGUUGCUACUUUGACGUUACCGACAGAAUAAGCACCGGCUAACUUCGUGCCAGCAGCCGCGGUAAUACGAAGGGUGCAAGCGUUAAUCGGAAUUACUGGGCGUAAAGCGCGCGUAGGUGGUUCAGUAAGUUGGAAGUGAAAUCCCCGGGCUCAACCUGGGAACUGCUUUCAAAACUGCUGAGCUAGAGUACGGUAGAGGGUGGUGGAAUUUCCUGUGUAGCGGUGAAAUGCGUAGAUAUAGGAAGGAACACCAGUGGCGAAGGCGACUACCUGGACUGAUACUGACACUGAGGUGCGAAAGCGUGGGGAGCAAACAGGAUUAGAAACCCGGGUAGUCC
rnacentral:rRNA from 1 species